rnacentral:rRNA from 1 species
UACGUAGGGAGCAAGCGUUGUCCGGAAUCAUUGGGCGUAAAGCGCGCGUAGGUGGCUCUAUAAGUCCGUUGUGAAAGUCAAAGGCUCAACCUUUGAAAGCCGAUGGAUACUGUGGAGCUAGAGUACGGAAGAGGCGAGUGGAAUUCCUGGUGUAGCGGUGGAAUGCGCAGAUAUCAGGAGGAACACCAAUAGCGAAGGCAGCUGCUGGGACGUUACUG